AGGACGAACGCUGGCGGCGUGCUUAACACAUGCAAGUCGAGCGGAAAGGCCCUUCGGGGUACUCGAGCGGCGAACGGGUGAGUAACACGUGAGUAACCUGCCCCUAGCUCUGGGAUAGCUCCGGGAAACCGGGAUUAAAUACCGGAUACGACCACUUUAGACAUCUGUCGUGGUGGAAAGGAUUCCGGCUAGGGAUGGGCUCGCGGCCUAUCAGCUUGUUGGUGGGGUAACGGCCUACCAAGGCGACGACGGGUAG
rnacentral:rRNA from 1 species